rnacentral:rRNA from 1 species
GGGGUACUCGAGUGGCGAACGGGUGAGUAACACGUGGGUGAUCUGCCCUGCACUUUGGGAUAAGCCUGGGAAACUGGGUCUAAUACCGAAUACACCCUGCUGGUCGCAUGGCCUGGUAGGGGAAAGCUUUUGCGGUGUGGGAUGGGCCCGCGGCCUAUCAGCUUGUUGGUGGGGUGAUGGCCUACCAAGGCGACGACGGGUAGCCGGCCUGAGAGGGUGACCGGCCACACUGGGACUGAGAUACGGCCCAGACUNCUACGGGAGGCAGCAGUGGGGAAUAUUGCACAAUGGGCGCAAGCCUGAUGCAGCGACGCCGCGUGAGGGAUGACGGCCUUCGGGUUGUAAACCUCUUUCAGCACAGACGAAGCGCAAGUGACGGUAUGUGCAGAAGAAGGACCGGCCAACUACGUGCCAGCAGCCGCGGUAAUACGUAGGGUCCGAGCGUUGUCCGGAAUUACUGGGCGUAAAGAGCUCGUAGGUGGUUUGUCGCGUUGUUCGUGAAAACUCACAGCUUAACUGUGGGCGUGCGGGCGAUACGGGCAGACUAGAGUACUGCAGGGGAGACUGGAAUUCCUGGUGUAGCGGUGGAAUGCGCAGAUAUCAGGAGGAACACCGGUGGCGAAGGCGGGUCUCUGGGCAGUAACUGACGCUGAGGAGCGAAAGCGUGGGGAGCGAACAGGAUUAGAUACCCUGGUAGUCCACGNCGUAAACGGUGGGUACUAGGUGUGGGUUUCCUUCCUCCCUGUGUAGGAAAACCAGA